CGUGUUAGGACUGGGGCUGCUGGAGAACCCGAGCAUCUGGAAAACACCACUUUCUGCUCCCGGUACUCUGCUCUUUACUGGAAACAAGUGAACUGGUAGUCCACUUGUUGAUUCAGGUUAGUUGGUACUACUCUGCGUGUUUUGUGAGUUUCUCCGACUCGGAUUAAGUUGUGCAUGGAGCGACAUCUGACCCUGCGACCGGAGUGAAACCAGAGGGGGUUCGGAGACGAUCCGACGGCAGCACACGGCUCUACAUGAGCUGACAUCGGAUCGGAGACAUAGGGUUUUACUUAUUAACUUAUUGGUUUAUAUCAGGUCCUAACUUUAAACUGCGAACCAUGGCAUUAAAGGCGAGAGUUCUGUACGACUUCAGCUCGGAGAACCCGGGGGAGAUCUCUAUCGCCGAGAACGAGCUGGUUACUUUAUACACCGAAGAGGAGUUCGACGGCUGGUUCGAGGGGGAAAACCACCGAGGAGAGGCCGGCCUGUUCCCGGCCACAUACGUGGAAAUCAUCCGAUCCGACGUGUCUCCCAACAACAAUAAUAACGGCCCCUCGACGGGCUUCGAGUCCCAGUCCCAGUCCCAGUACGACACCUCGGUCCGCUCCAGCACCGUGGAAAUCAGCAAAGCCUCCCCGCCCCCCCUCGCCGCCUACCCGACCCCGGCCCAGCAGCCCCCUCAGCGGGGUAGCUACCAGACCAGCCAGGGCAGUGAUGAUGACUGGGACGACGACUGGGAUGACCAGUCUACUGCGACGGAGGACACGGCCAGUGUGGCCAGUGGCCGGCCCUCCACCUACACGGUGACCACUUCACUGCCCGGCCCUGGAGGGCACUCGGGGCAACAGGCCAAAAGCUCCGCAACAGUUGGCCGGAACCUCAACCGCUUCUCCACCUUCGUCAAGUCUGGAGGAGAGGCGUUCCUGCUCGGGGAGGCCGCGGCCUUCGUGAAGGACGGGGACCGGAUCUGCGUGGUGAUGGGGCAGUGCGGUCCAGAGUGGCAGAAGAACCCGUACCCCUUCUCUUGUGCCAUCGAUGACCCCAAAAAGCAGACCAAGUUCAAAGGCAUGAAGAGCUACAUGUCCUACGGCCUGACCCCCACCCUCACCAAUGUACAAGUCAACCGCAGGUACAAACACUUUGAUUGGCUCUAUGCGCGGCUGGUGGAGCGGUUCCCGGUCAUCUCGGUGCCCCACCUCCCGGAGAAGCAGGCGACGGGGCGCUUCGAGGAGGACUUCAUCACCAAGCGGAGGAAGGGCCUCAUCUGGUGGAUGAACCACAUGAGCAGCCACCCGGUGCUGGGCCGCUGCGACGUCUUCCAGCACUUCCUGACCUGCGGGGCAGACGAGAAGGCCUGGAAACUGGGCAAGAGGAGGGCCGAGAGGGACGAGAUGGUCGGGGCCAACUUCUUCCUCACCAUCAGUCCUCCGGUCGUUCCCCUGGACCUCCAGGAGGUGGAGAGCAAGAUCGAGGGCUUCAAGUCUUUCACAAAGCGGCUGGAUGAGAACAUCGUGGUGGUGAACACUACCAUCAACGAGUUCGCCCGCAAGCAGAUCACCGGCUUCAAGAAGGAGUACCAGCGCGUGGGUCAGUCCUUCAGGCUGCUGGGCCAGGCCUUUGAGAUGGACCAGCAGGCCUACUCCGCAGGCCUCAACCAGGCCCUGGCCUACACCGGGGAGGCCUACGAGACCAUCGGGGAAUACUUUGCCGAGCAGCCCCGCCAAGACCUUGACCCCAUCUCAGACCUGCUGGACCUGUACCGAGGCCACCUGGCCAACUACCCGGACAUCAUCCACGUGCAGAAAGGAGCUCUGACCAAGGUGAAGGACUGCCAGAAGUCAGACGCCGACCUCCACAACCGCUGCAACAUCAUCUCGUGCGCCACGCUUGCCGAGGUGCAGCACUUCCACCGCACCCGCGUACGGGACUUCCGCAGCCAGAUGCAGCACCACCUCAGCCAGCAGAUCCUCUUCUUCCAGAAGAUCACCGCCAAGCUGCAGGAGGCCCUGCAGAAGUAUGACGAGUAGGGACAACCACCACAACCACCACCUUCUAAUCCUCUGAAAGAAACACCUGUUUUUAUGAUCAAAAGGAAAUGAAUUGAUGAGUGGGAACCUGAGUCACCUUGAAGUCCUGUGGAUGGAGAAGGAGAAGGAAUAAGAGAUACAUGUGCUCUUGGAGUUGAUUGAUGGAUACAAACUUGUCCAAUAGGAGAGAGACAACUCGUUGUGGAACCCUGCCCUACACAAUGGAGAAAGACUAUGCUAUAAAAGAGAUCAAUAUGGAAACUUUCAGGUGAAACCAGAGUGAACAAGGUUGUCAAUAAGACAAUUACAAAAAGUGUCCUGGCGGGAGAGACUAAAUGUAACAGCUCCCACCACACAGUCCCCUAAACUCAGGUGAUAUUAAUAUUAAGAAAUUCAAUGUUAUAAAGACUGGCGGACCGAAUGUCUUUGCAAAGCUCUUGAGGUGCAGGAGUUUGAAAUGGUAUCGUAUAGGAUUCUUGAUGUUAAGGUAUACAGUUUGAAAUGGUUAGGUUCAGGGUCAGGAAGGAUUAAGUUUCAGUGCUCUGCUAUAAACGACAAAGUGUAAAUGUGUUUGGUAAGAGAUAUAGUUAAGGUAUGGGGUCAGACUGUGUGGGUGUGCCAGGUGUGUGCGUUUAGUCUCUGUGUGUCUUGCAGUGUUCUACCUACUGGUUCCUCAUCAUGUGACCCAUAAUGUACAACGAGACGAGACAUUAUAUUCACCCUAUUUUACCGCUUUACACGAUUUUGAAAGACGUACCUAAAGAACUCAUUUUUAUCCUUUUAACCUUUACUUGAAUGGCCUUUUCAGUGUUGUUUUGUCAUCUUUGUCUUUUAACUCUUUAACUUUUGUGGUCCGAAUCCCUGGAUCUGACAGUACACUCAACUCACACAGUGGGACAACACGGCUGACGAUAAUCAAGGGUUCAUCAGUUCCCCGCUCUGACACACCGUCAUCGUACAAGAUGGACAGGACCGGAGCGUGUGAAGCACGUCUGGGUCAAAUUGCUACACCAGAGUUCCUGGGCCUUGGCUGAGUCUACAGAUUUGAGCACACUACAAGAUGACAACAAGAGAGAUUGAGAGAAUCAUGUUUUUUGUUACGUUCAGAUGAGUGAGAAACUCUCUAUUUCCUCUUUCAUAGUUCUUUUGAGUGAUAGUACUCGUAUCAUAGUACUACUUAAUGAUUGUUUAACACAGCCUUUUAGUGCCUUUCAGUCAAAGUUUUUGACACAUCCUACGCUCUCUAAUUAAAAUCCUCUUGAUACUACUUGGUAUUGACGGAUAUCGAAAACAUAACCUUAACCGUUUUGUCAAAUGGCUCAGUUUCAGGCUACGGAUCAUGCUGAUGAUACUACUCACUAUCUGACUGCCUGGACGGUAGACAGGUAUCCUCCACGGCGACUAAAGAGAGCCAUCACUGGUGGAUCAGAUUACUAUGGCUCCCGGCUCGUCAAUAAUUAGACGGGCCUUCCAAUAUGUACACACUAUCUGUUUAUCGUUUGAUUGAAUCCUGAUACAUUGCCAUUUUAAGGUUGUUAAUGAAUGAUUACUAAAUAUUCGCACAAAGUCCAACGUUUAAGGGUGAUAUGUUUGACAUUAUAAUUAUAAAUGUUUAAGACACAGGAUACUUAAAAUAAACAUAAAGGUGAUGUUCAUAAGUAGGCCUAGCUACGCAUAAAGGCCCAUAUGUGAGAUAGUCUAUUUAAUACAUGAGAGGCUCAUGAAAAUAAGUUGGCCGUAUUUAUGUCCGCUUAACGCUGAAAGUAUAAAGUAUAAUCUUUAUAUUCUCUAAUAUGGACCCGAACCCGAACCCCUUGUCAGGUUGUUGAACAGAGGCUACACUUUAUUUUGCCUAUUUGUUUGAAUGACGUUUUGAAGUACCAAGGUACGGAAAGAUUUACUUUUGAUAAUUAGCCAAAUCACAACUUACAUGCGGGUUUAUUUUUCUACCACGAAGUGCGUCGUGUUGAUAUACGCCGGCUGAUGUGUGUUCGUGGCAUGCUUCGGCAUUAUGGUGAAAAAAAAUACGAGCCAGCCAGGAGUCGAACCUGGAAUCUUCUGAUCCGUAGUCAGACGCGUUAUCCAUUGCGCCACUGGC